UACGUAGGGUGCAAGCGUUUAAUCGGAAUUACUGGGCGUAAAGCGUGCGUAGGUGGUUUGUUAAGUCUGUUGUGAAAGCCCCGGGCUCAACCUGGGAAUGGCAAUGGAUACUGGCAAGCUAGAGUGCGGUAGAGGGUAGUGGAAUUCCCGGUGUAGCGGUGAAAUGCGUAGAGAUCGGGGAGGAACACCAGUGGCGAAGGCGGCUACCUGGGACCAGCACUGACACUGAGGCACGAAAGCGUGGGGAGCAAACAGG
rnacentral:rRNA from 1 species